rnacentral:lncRNA from 1 species
GGUCAUCGGUGCACAGUGCAUGCCGGGUUCCGGGGCUCACCUACCACGCCUACUGUACAUAUAUUUUGGAGCUGUAGCAUUUUCGUUAUUGGGCUACCUCUGCAAGCCCGCCGGCUUUCCUCAAGAGCCGGAAAAGGGCGGGCCCCCCCUGCAUAUAUCCGUACAGGCCGGUGCUAGGGCGGCAUGUGUGAUAAUUGAUGGGUAGUGCCAACGUGGUGAGAGCUGUGCUUGUUGCAGCAGUGCUGAUGCGGUGGGAGCUAUGCUUGUCAGAGCACGGGAGGCAGGACGCUGGGGCUCAUAACCUUUUGAAGAGACGGUGUCUCCCUGGAACCUAGCAGACAUGGUGAAGAGUCAUUGGCUGUUACACGUAGUCGGGAGGUCCACGACCUGCCACCGACAGCCCCUUGCUUGGGCGUAAAUGUAUGAGCCUGAGGUGCCGUUACCGGCACACAGCAGGGGCUCGGCCGCCAAGUCCGCUCAGCAGACACAAUCGCAGCUUGCCAGCCUUCAGCCUGUUGGCUUUGCGGUCUGGUGCUGUUGUAGUGUAGUGCAGUGCUACUGGCCCGUGAAGUAUGUCUCAGGCCGGCACUGCCCCGACCACGGUAUAAGACCGCGCUCCGAACGUGAGUAGAAUAUGAAUUCUAAAAGAACCCACGUCCGUUCUGUGAGCAAAGACGAUUUCAGUAGAUUUAUGGAUUUCGGUAAGGCUGUCGUACAGAUUCAUGAUGUUCAGUUUUGAUGAAUUCUUACAAACGAUUCUUGACAGCCAGGUCAGUUUUCGGAAGAUUUCAUGAUCAUAAUUGAUUCGCAUAUUUCUUGAUAAGCUCAUCAUUACUGUGUAGCUAUCGCGCUACAACAGCUGCCUCCUUCCCCCAGGAACCAGCGUCCUCGCUGUGUUCCGGGUGAGCUUUCCAGUAUUCAGUAAUCAGAUUUCGAUCGGAAAUAUCGGUAGAAUCAAGCCACGUAUUGUUUUCAUCAGUAUGUCCUUUCCAUUUGACCAGAAAUCGGUAUAAGGUUCGUUUUCUCAAUUUACGGGUUUCAUGCUUCAGGAUUCGUUCAAUCGUCCAGACAGGCUUGGAAGUGACAGGGUCAAGUUCCAAAGCUUUCGGAGGCUGAACAGGUCCAUCAGGGACGUCAGCACAGUAAGGUCGGAGUAAGGACACAUGAAACACAUCGUGGAAUCGGUAUUCAGGAGGCAAAUUCAAACGGAAAGUAACGGAAUUAAUCAUUUCAGUGAUCGGAAAAGGUCCAAUCCAACGGGGCAUCAGUUUUCGUGUACCUUUCUGUAUAGACAGAUUUUUCGUACUCAGUAAUACCUGUUGACCAACAUGGAGGGUUACGGUACGUCGUUUCUUACUCUCCUGUUGUACAGCUCGGUCUUGCGCAGACUGAUAAAAUCGUUUCGCAAGAUUCAGUCGUUCAUGAAACGUAUCCACGUACACCUUAGCAGCAGGAACGGUAUCAGCAAGUUCCAACUGUAAAGGCGUUCGCGGGUGGAAACCGUAAUUCAGAAAGAAAGGUGACUGACCCGUGGUUCGGUUUCGCAGAUUGUUAAUCGCGAAUUCAGCGGCAUCGAGAUAACGAUCCCAUUGUUCAGUGUCAGUCGAAACGUAUUGUCGUAACAUAUCUCCAAGGAUUCGGUUGAUUCGUUCGGUUUGUCCAUCGGUUUCAGGGUGAAAAGCGGUACUCGUGUUUUGUUUCGCACCAGCUCGAUUGAGCAAAGCCGGUAGAAACAGAUUCUUAAAUCUCGGGUCACGGUCGGAGAUAAUCUUUUGUGGCAUUCCAUGAAGUCUCACAACGUGAUGAAACAUCAUGUCAGCACAUUGUUCGGCGGUAGCGGUAGUACGGCAAGGAGCCAAAUGUACCAUUUUCGUUAGGCGAUCCACAAACACCAGAAUAGCAUCGUGCUGGCGUUUGGUUUUCGGAAGUCCCACAAUAAAGUCCAUGGAAAUACUUUCCCAAGGCAUAUCAGGGAUCGGUAGUGGAUGUAAUUCACCUGCCGGUAAACCAGAAGCCGGUUUGGUUCGGAGACAUACAUCACACUUCGCCACAAAAUCCGUGACAUCAGUUCGAGGAGUUGGCCACCAGAAACUUCGUUGAACCAAUUCAAUGGUCCGAUCACGACCAGGAUGACCAGAUAAACGAUCAGAGUGACUUCGUGAGAUAAUUUCGUGUUUCAGAAUCGGAUCAUUCGGUACGACGAUUCGGUGAUUCCCCUCCUCCUCCAAGACAAAGAACCCUCCUGGGUGUUCAUAAAAUUCUCGUGUAUUAUUCGGAUUCUGAAACCAGGCGUCCUUGCGGGUCGCUUCCGCAAUUCGGGACGAAAUCGGAAGGUCGGAAGAAGGAGUAAGGGGAGGAACCGCACAGAGAAUCAUGGCCAGAUUCGGAUGUCGAGAAAGAGCAUCGGCAACAACGUUGAGUUUCCCAGGUCGGUAGACCCACUCAAACGUAAACUGCUCGAGGAAUUCAACCCAGCGUGCCUGCCGUCGACUCAGAUGAGCUUGUGUUUUCAGAUACGUAAGCGGAUGAUGAUCGGUAACGAGGGUAAAAGGGAUGUUGCUUUGCAAGUAACAUCGCCACUCGCGUAAAGCAUUCACAACGCCCAACAGUUCUUGUUCACCGGUAGAGUAGUUGCGUUCGGCAGCGGAAAAUUUCUUACUCGUGAAAGCAAUCGACGACCAUCUUGCAACAGUACGGCACCGGUUCCAUUGAGCGAUGCAUCGGAAACAAGCUCAAACGGUUUCGAGAAGUCCGGGUAAUUCAGUAAGACAUCGGUUGACAGGCAUUCUUUAAUGGAUUGAAACGCGGCCAGCGCCUGAGGUGGCCAUUCAUCCGGGAGGCGCGGUUUGCCAAAGAGAUCCGUAAGUGGCGCGGCCAAAGACGCAAAAUUUCGGAUAAAUCGUCGGAAAUAGUUCGCAAGGCCAACGAAGGCGCGCAGCUCACUUAGGUCCUUAGGUUGUGGCCAAUUUCGGAUCGUGUCCACCUUAUUCGGGUCCAUUCGGAUACCAGCAGAGCCUACGAUGUGACCAAGGUACUUGACUUCGGUUUUCCAGAAUUCACAUUUCGAAAGUUUCGCGUGCAGUUGGUGUUUUCGGAGCGUUUCAAGAACCAACCGCAAAUGCUCAGCGUGUUCUUCCGGAGUUUUCGAAAAGAUCAGAAUAUCAUCCAGAUAUACAGUGACAAAUCGGUGCAUAUACGGUGCGAAAAUCCGAUUCAUGGUUGCUUGAAACGUCGCAGGAGCAUUGGAAAGCCCAAAAGGCAACACCAACCACUCGAAAUGUCCCAACGGUGUAUUAAAAGCAGAUUUCGGGACGUCAUCCGGGUGAAUUCGGAGUUGAUGAUAACCAGAAGCCAAGUCGAGAGCGGAAAAGAUUCGUGCUCCCGCCAACCGGUCUAACGUGUCAUCAAUUCGUGGUAACGGAUAUUUGUUCUUAAUCGUUAAUCGAUUCAAGGCUCGGUAAUCGAUACACAUACGGAGCUCACCGGUCUUCUUGGUCACAAAGAGGAUAGGCGCACCAAAAGGAGAUGUUGAGGGUUGAAUAAACCCUUUAGCCAGCAAGUCCUUGACCUGCUUCUCAACUUCUUCCUUUUCCAACGGUGUCAAACGGUACUGACGCCGGUAAAUCGGUUGUGCACCAGGCUCUAACGGAAUCGUAUGAUGUACCCCACGAUCAGGAGGUAGCCCGGAAAUCGGAGCAAACACAUCCGCAUAUUCGUGCAAGAUUGUUGCUAAGGUUCGGUUCGUUUCGAUUUCAGGUGGAAGUUCGAGAGAAUUGACCUGAGAAAUGGGGCUGGUCGGAGGAUGUGCGGUAGAUUCGGUUAACGGUUUCACGACAACCAGCAACCCACGCGAGCCGGGCGACUCAAAAAGGUCUCUAAACGCGCGCUCCACGGAUACCACAGACGUGCGAGCUGGCGCUCUUUCCAACAACAGAAAUUCGGGUUUCGGUGAUUCGGAAACAGAAGAAGACGGGGCGUGCAUCGCUCGCAACGUACAUCGCGCACCGUUUGGCCGUAAUAAACUCAGUUCGCUAUGCGCAGGCCUUAAUUGCGCAUCAUAACGGGUUAAGAAGUUCGUGCCAAGGAUCACAUCCGCAGAUACAGUCAAAGCCGGUAAAACGAGCAAACGGAUAUCGGUACCGAAACUACCAAGGCGCAAACGAGCUCGACACUCACCAAGAAUAGGUACGGUCGACUGGUCGGCCAGGCGCACUGGAGCAAGCGGUGUAGGCAAAAUCCGCAAGCCAAGUUUGGUAGCCAUGAGCUGGGAAACGAAGCAGUGUGUUGCGCCAGUGUCCGGGAGAACUCGUACGGCAUUAGCACCAAGUCGUCCAGCAAAUAAAUGCAACUGAUUAUCGGCCCUAUGGCAUAAACAUGCCGGUNNNNNNNNNNNNNNNNNNNNNNNNNNNNNNNNNNNNNNNNNNNNNNNNNNCCCGGCUGAAACGCGUUAUUGGUAAUAUAUUGCAUUCUCUAUUGCAAGGUAUCUCGCCUGUAGCCAACAAGCAUCGUAUGGGCACUGCCUUCAUGCUGUACGGCACUGUCUUCCGUGUGUGUUCGGGCUGCAGCACCAGACCGCAAAGCCAACAGGCUGAAGGCUGGCAAGCUGCGAUUGUGUCUGCUGAGCGGACUUGGCGGCCAAGCCCCUGCUGUGUGCCGGUAACGGCACCUCAGGCUCAUACAUUUACGCCCAAGCAAGGGGCUGUCGGUGGCAGGUCGUGGACCUCCCGACUACGUGUAACAGCCAAUGACUCUUCACCAUGUCUGCUAGGUUCCAGGGAGACACCGUCUCUUCAAAAGGUUAUGAGCCCCAGCGUCCUGCCUCCCGUGCUCUGACAAGCAUAGCUCCCACCGCAUCAGCACUGCUGCAACAAGCACAGCUCUCACCACGUUGGCACUACCCAUCAAUUAUCACACAUGCCGCCCUAGCACCGGC